UUUCAAAACCACUUCCUCCUGCUCCUUUGGAGGGUGUUCCACCUUCCAGGGGGUCUUUUCAACGGGACCCGGGAGGCCCGUGUCCUCCACCAUGAAGAGGAUCUUGGGCUUCCGGACUCAAAGUCUGCUAUCCUUCCGGGGCCCUGGGCAUCAGUCGGAGAGUGUUCAGAGCACCACUCUGCCCAGAAGGCCCAAAGACUACACAGCCUUCAGAAAGAUCCACAAGGCUGCAAGCCAGGGUGACGCUGCCGAGGUGCAGCGCAGACUCAUCCUAGGCAAAGAUGGCAAGAAUGACAGAGACAGGAAGGACCAGAGCUAUUUUGCAUUAUGCUUGUGCACAUGGCCAUCCUGAUGCCGUGACAACUCCUAAUAGAUCGUAAGUGUGACAUUGAUCUCUGUGACAGUGACAGCAGCACACCACUGAUCAAGUCAUCACAAUAUGGGCAUGAAGAAUACAUGGCCAUUUUAUUAGAACGUGGUGCUGUUCCAAAUGCCAUGGAGAACCAAGAAAAUACAGCUCUGCACUAUGCUCUUUGCAGUGAAAACAUCUCAAUGGCAUUCAAACUACUGGCGCACCAAGCCAGCAUCAAUAUAAAGAACAAGAAGGGCUGUUCUCCACAUACUCUGGCUCUAAUCAAAGGCAACCAGGAGAUGAUACAAUGUUUAUUCAGCAAAGGAGCAAGCAUAUGUGCAGUUGAACAACCAGACAGGUAUUGUGGUAAAUUAUUCUGUUUUUAAAUGAUAG